CCGCAGCGUGCACGGCUCCGUCGGAUCGCGGAUCGGAGCAGCUGGCGGGGCCGCGGCCUCGACACCGAGGUGUUACCACUUCAAGAAAUAGAAUUUCAUCUCAAAAGAGAGAAGAAGAAGUAUUGCCCAGGAAUAUCUGCAGUUAUUAUAAUUUGAGUGCAAAUUUUAAAAGAAAAGUUUUUAUGAUGACUACUGCACUACAGAUUUUCAGGAACAGUCAUUGUGUUUUAAUUCUCUCAGGCAAAAAAGUUAAACUCUGUUGACCACAAAGAAUAUGUUGUUGAUUGCAGCCUUACAUGAUGCUUUGCCUUUAACCAUUCUCAUCAUUUUUAUAAUCAAAGCCUGAUGGCAGGAAUUUUUUUAAAAUGCAACAAACUAAAAACGUUACCAGCCAUUUGGCAAAGGAAAUUUUAACUAAGUACAGUAUUUGGAUCAGCUGAAUUAAAAGUGAUUAUAAAAGCAGUUAUAAAGCUGUCCUCUAUCUUCAGGAGGAGAAAGAGAUGCUAAAACUCCAUUGGAAAUGAGAACUGCUUGUACUUGUGAAAACAAAGAUCCACUUUUCUUUGCUAGUGGCCACAAUCAAGAUAUAAGUUGAGUUCUGCCGCCUGCCUCGUAAGCACAAGGUCCUGAGUUCAAUCCCGGGUACCAAAAAAAAAAAAGAUAUAAGUUGAUAUUUGAAAGGCCAAGUUAUGAAGAAAGAGUUAUGUCAUUUUUACCUAAGCCUAGUCCUUGGAAAAUAAUUUUAUCAUAUUUAAAUUUGAAAAAAUAUGUAUUACCCAGAUACCACUAUAUCUAGUCAGUCAUGUACGUUGUAGAUGCACACACUGCUGUUGAGGCUGCAUUUCACAGACAUAAAACUAUCGGACAAUCAGCGCUGGAUCGCUUCCUCCUCACCCUUCAGGGGAGAAGUCACCUUUGUUGAAACCUGGCUGCUUCGGAGCAUAACUUUCCUUUGUUCUUUAGAAUGUUUAUCUGUAUUCUUGUUAGAAAUGAUUUGAGGAAUUAAAGACAUUCUUACCUCGGUAUCCCCACUUGAGACCCUCAGAGUUGAAGAAAUCUAAAUCUAAGCUCUGGCAGUUGCUCCUGGUGCAGUAGUUCACCAGAUGCAAGUCCCUUUCAUCUACAUUUGCCCUGGUCUCCUCCUGGAGGCAAUCGCCCUGAUAAUAUACUCCCUCCAGUGACUUUCUACACCAUUUGUCUUAAAUUUUUAAAGUAAUGAUCACUUUCAUGCGGAUGUAUAUACAACUUCCCAAAAUGAAGCAGUACGUACUCUUACAAUCUUAUAAUAGUAUAUAAUCUUAUAGUAUCAUCGUGAAACCCAGAUGUAGCACGCAGCAAGCUUCAUUACAUACAUGUCAUAUAAGCUUAGUACUACAACUGCAUGCACUACAAAAUUUUCUUUUAAAAGCCAUCUCAAGAUUUUGGAGCAUUUUUAUAUUACUAGAAAUACCAUAUUAUAAAAAAACUCCAUUUGAUAGAGUGCCAGGUAAAUAACUCUUGCAUACACAGAGUCAUCUGUAAUCAUGUUGGAAACUUCAUGUAGCUAUUAUAAAUUACUCAUUUUUAAGAGUAAUUACAUUAAAAUUGGAUUGUUUUAUCUAAGAAUUGUUUUUGGUGGUUUUAGUCAUUUCUCAGGAGGGAACCUCAUUUAUAGUAGUUCUUCCCAAGACACAUUUAGAUAGAUUUCAUUUACUGCUGAAAAUUGGAUCUGCCUCCUAAGGGGAAAGGUUAGUCAGAUCUUUCAUUAGUGGUUCUCAUCCUUUGGCCUCUAAGGAAUGUCAAAGUUAGCUCGUCAAAAGCUAAGGAGGGUCAGAGCCACUUAAAAUUUACAGCUUUU